ACAGAGGCCUCGAGCGUUAGGCGGAAUCACUGGGCUUAAAGCGUGUGUAGGCGGAUUGCUAAGUACCUUGUGAAAUCCCACGGCUUAACCGUGGUACUGCUUGGUAUACUGGCUGUCUUGAGCCACUUAGGGGCGACCGGAACAAACGGUGGAGCGGUGAAAUGCGUAGAUAUCGAGAGGAACACCUGCGGCGAAGGCGGGUUGCUGGGCUGACACUGACGCUGAUUGUGCGAAAGCUAGGGGAGCGAACGGGA
rnacentral:rRNA from 1 species